rnacentral:rRNA from 1 species
GACGAACGCUGGCGGCGGGCUUAACACAUGCAAGUCGAACGGCAAGGCCCUGCUUUUGUGGUGUUCUCGAGUGGCGAACGGGUGAGUAACACGUGUGUAACCUGACCUUCACUUUCGUGUAACUUCAGGAAACGGGGGCUAAUACCGGAUAGGAGCUCCUGCUGCAUGGUGGGGGGUGGAUAUUUUCGGCCGUAGGGGAUGGACGCGCGGCUUAUCAGCUUGUUGGUUGGGGGGGGGCUUACCAAGCCUGUGACGGGUCGCCGGCCUGAGAGGGUGACCGGCCACAUUGGGACUGCGAUACGCCGCAGACUCCUACGUGAGGCAGCAGUCGCGAAUAUUGCACAAUGGUAGCAAGCCUGAUGCAGAAACGCCGCGUGCGGGAUGACCGCCUUCGGGGUGUAAACAGCUUUCGCCUGUGACGAAGCGUGAGUGACGGUAAUGAGUAAAGAAGCACCGGCUAACUACGUG